GAUGAACGCUGGCGGCGUGCCUAAUACAUGCAAGUCGAACGCUGGAAAUCUAGCUUGCUAGAUUGAAGGAGUGGCGAACGGGUGAGUAAUACAUAAGCAACCUACCCACGAAUACUGGGAUAAUCUCUGGAAACGGGGACUAAUACCGGAUAGGUAAUCUGAAGGCAUCUUCCGAUUAUUAAAGGUUAAAAACACUGGUUGAUGGGCUUAUGGCGCAUUAGUUAGUUGGUGAGGUAACGGCCCACCAAGACGAUGAUGCGUAGCCGGCCUGAGAGGGUGAACGGCCACAUGGGGACUGAGACACGGCCCAGACUCCUACGGGAGGCAGCAGUAGGGAAUUUUCGGAAAUGGGGGAAACCCUGACCGAGCAACGCCGCGUGAGUGAUGACGGCCUUCGGGUUGUAAAGCUCUGUUGUAAGGGAAGAACGGUAGAUAGAGAAUAUCUAAAUGACGGUACCUUACCAGAAAGCCACGGCUAACUACGUG
rnacentral:rRNA from 1 species